UGGGGAAUAUUGCACAAUGGGCGAAAGCCUGAUGCAGCGACGCCGCGUGAGGGAUGACGGCCUUCGGGUUGUAAACCUCUUUCAGCAGGGAAGAAGCGAAAGUGACGGUACCUGCAGAAGAAGCGCCGGCUAACUACGUGCCAGCAGCCGCGGUAAUACGUAGGGCGCAAGCGUUGUCCGGAAUUAUUGGGCGUAAAGAGCUCGUAGGCGGUUAGUCGCGUCUGCUGUGAAAACUCGAGGCUCAACCUCGGGCUUGCAGUGGGUAACGGGCUGACUAGAGUGCGGUAGGGGUGACUGGAAUUCCUGGUGUAGCGGUGGAAUGCGCAGAUAUCAGGAGGAACACCGAUGGCGAAGGCAGGUCACUGGGCCGCAACUGACGCUGAGGAGCGAAAGCAUGGGAGCGACAGGAUUAGAUACCCUGGUAGU
rnacentral:rRNA from 1 species